GCCUGGGUGGCUCAGUCGGUUAAGCAUCCGACUUCAGCUCAGGUCAUGAUCUCCCGGUUCGUGGGUUCGAGCCCCGCGUCGGGCU
rnacentral:tRNA from 1 species